rnacentral:rRNA from 1 species
GGCGGGGUCGCCCGACGCGGCGCCCGAGCUGGCCAAGCCGUCGCUGCCGGCGACGUGGCUCAUCCUGCACGCGCUCUUCUGCGCCACCUCCAUGGCCGUCGGCUUCCGCUUCUCCCGCCUCGUCGUCUUCCUCCUCUUCCUGCCCACGCCGCCCAUGAACCCGUCGGCGCACCUCGUCUCCCUCGUCACCCCGCCCGUCAUGCUCGCCAGCUCCAACACCACCGCCACCAUCACUACUACGACGACCACCACCACCACCGUCACGACGACCACCACGCUGGCUGAGAGCGAGGCCGGCGCCAACGCGCACCACCAGGUCCACCACGGUCCGGUCUUCGUCGGCCGCCACGCCAUCCGCGUCCGCAAGUGGCCGCACCCGAACCCCGGCGAGCUCCUCAAGGCCCACAGCAUCCUCGCCGCCGUCCAGGAAGCACAGCGCCGCAGCCGCAACCGCAUGGCCGACCCGCUCAGGCCCGUGAUUGCCGUCACCCCGACCACCACCUCCGCGCUCCAGGCGCCGUCGCUCACGUCCCUGGCGCACACCCUCCGCCUCGUCGACGCCCCGCUGCGCUGGAUCGUCGUCGAGCCUGGCCACCGCACCGACGCCGUCGCCGCCGUGCUCGCCCGCUCCGGCCUCGACUUCCUCCACCUCGUCGCCUCCGACGGCCCCUCCACCGCGCGCCUGCGAAUGCACGCCCUCAGGGAGGUACGGAAGGAGAAGAUGGACGGCGUGGUGGUGUUCGCCGACGAGAACGGCAUCCUCCGGACGGAGCUGUUCGACGAGGCGCAGAAGGUCAAGUCCGUGGGCGCCGUGCCCGUGGGCAUUCUGGGCGAGGACGAAGGCACCAAGGAGUCCUUCCUGCAGGCGCCGGCCUGCGACGAGGCCGGGAAGCUGGUGGGCUACCACGUCUCGGAGGAGACGCUGCUGCCGGCGGCGCGGAGCGACAUGCUGCUGUCCACCCGGCUGGAGUGGGCCGGGUUCGUGGUGAACGCGCGGGUGCUCUGGGAGAGCGCAUCAGAGCGUCCCGAGUGGGUGCGCGACCUGGACGCCGUGGACGGCGGCGCGCACCUGGACAGCCCGCUGGCGCUGGUCACCGACGCCGGCCAGGUGGAGCCGCUCGCCAGAUGCGCCCGGGCGGCGCUGGCGUGGUCGCUCCGGUCAGACGCUCUGCAUGAAGUCAAGUUCCCGCAUGAGUGGAAAUUUGAUGCUCCUCUAGUAAGCGCCGCUUCGCGUCAGCAGAGCAGCGUAGUAAAUACUGAAGAUGGUCACUAG